GGUAGUAACAAAUAUUUAAAUGAGAACUUUGAAGGUCAAAAAGGGAAAAUGUUACAUGCGAAUGACACUUGCACAUGGUCUAGUAGAUCUUAAGAUACGGGGAAACCUGUUUGACAGCUCGUUUUGUGCGCGAGUUUUGCAAGGGAAUCAGGUUAAAAUUCUUCAACUGGGACAUGACGGCUGACAACAUCGUUAGGGAGUUAUAUUUUCUGUUUAACAACCCACUCACCCUAGAAAUGACUUAGUUGGAGGUCGGGUCCGGCGGUUGGAAGAGCAUCGCACGUCGCGUGGUGCGAUGCGCCCUUGAUGGCCCUUGAAAAUCCAGAGGAUCGAGUGCCUCCUAUACCCAAUCGUAAUCAUAACCACAUCAGGUCUUCAAGGUGAAUAACCUUUGGUC
rfam:Populus trichocarpa scaffold_6_contig_409, whole genome shotgun sequence.